ensembl:lncRNA
CCUUUACCUUCCGUCUUGGAAUCAAUACUGUAUAUUGGCUCCAAGGCAGAAGAAUGGUAAGGGCUAGGCAAUGGGGGUCAAGUGACUUGCCCAGGGUCACACAGCUAGGAAGUAUCUGAGACCGUAUUUGAACCUAGAACCUCCCAUCUCUAGGCCUGGCUCUCAACCACUGAUCUACCCAGCUGCACCCUGGUUAUAGCAUUUUUAAAAGAACAAAAUAGAAACAUUGCAAUGAAGCAGAUAUUUAUCUGAAAGUUAAAUUUUCCCUUAGCAGUCUUUGCUCAGAGUCCUUAGCCAACCACUGCUCUAGACGUUAGAGCUAGCAGUCCCUCUGACACAAGUUUCCAAUUUCCCAGAAGAGUGUCAUUAUAAUAAUUAUUCCAGAGAGUUUUCACAUCAGCAGAGAAUAAACUUAUGAAAUCUAUGACAUUGUUAAAUUUCCAUCUGUUCCAGGAGCUGUUGACGAUACACAUGAGGUUAUUCAGGCACUGUUUCAAAAUGAUGUGAGUUGGAGGACCCAUAAAUCAUGUUGCUGCCUCACGACACAAGGUAUAUAUGGUGCCAGGUGCAGCAUAACAGAUGUAGCCUCCAAUUUACCAGGAUCAUGUCACAAUUCAUUCACAUUAUGGCAGUCUGGAGUUAGAAAUCUGCUGGAAAUGCGACAAACAUAUGCCAGGUGGCUGCUGGGAAUAUCAUUUUGGCAGCUUUGCAGUAGAUGGAUUGGGAAGAAGAACAAGCUAGAAGCAAUCAGCUGAAAAAAGGUGAGAUGUAGACAGUCAGCACAGAUUCAGGGAAGUGUGCAGUCCCUAAUAGAGUUUUGGGGAGACAAACUCUACAAGAUUCAAGAUUUGAAUAGGGAGGAGGAUAUUGACUUCUGAGGAGAAGAUAGGGGAUAUAAUAGAGGAACAUUUAAUAUAGCAUGUGUAAGGGGUAGUAGGUGAGUGACCUGACAGUUCUCCUUCAAAAGGAGAGAGAUUGAAAGGACAUUAGGGCUGGGUUGUGAAGGGUCAUAACCAUUGAAUGGGGCAGUAUGAUGCAUUUUCUACAGGAGACUGAAAUGAUGAAAUAUUUAUGAAAUAUAUAUUUUAAGAAGAUUAGUCUGAGCAAGAUGAUCAGUGAGCUUAUUCUUUGAACUUGCAUUCUACUUAGAGUCUGCACAUAGCACUCAGAAAUCACUGUAAGAUGGAAGAUAAACUGGAAAGGGAAAGAGUGAGAGGAGACCAAUGAGGAAGAGUUUAUAGUAAUUCAAGAUAGAAUGUGAGGAGGGAGACGAUAAGGUUGUGCCCAUGAAAAUAGAGAGGAAGGUUUAAGUGAGAAACAUUUCAAAGGGAAAAUACACAAGAUUUCAUGACAGAUUGGCUAUGGAGUAGAGAGUAAAGGAGAGGGACACGAUUUCCAACUCUGGAGACUUAGAAUAUGAAGAAUUAUUUUAUAGAGAAAGGGUUAAGGGGUCUCCCUUUCUGUGAACAUAAAACAGGAAGGAUUUAUUUUUGAAUGAAAUAAUUAAAAUUUAGGUUAAGUAUAAAGGACAUUUUCUGAUAUAAAAGGUUAGAAAAAUGACUUGAACAGGA